rnacentral:rRNA from 1 species
AGCGAACGUUAGCGGCGGGCCUAACACAUGCAAGUCGAGCGAGAAAGGGGGCAACCCUGAGUACAGCGGCGGACGGGUGAGGAACACGUAGGUAAUCUGCCCCACGGUGGAGGACAACGGUCCGAAAGGACCGCUAAUACUGCAUACGUUCACCGGGUCCUCGGACCUGGUGAGGAAAGCCUCGCAAGGGGCGCCGAGGGAGGAGCCUGCGUCGCAUCAGCUAGUUGGUGGGGUAAUGGCCUACCAAGGCGAAGACGCGUAGCUGGUCUGAGAGGAUGAUCAGCCACACUGGGACUGAGACACGGCCCAGACUCCUACGGGAGGCAGCAGUGGGGAAUAUUGGACAAUGGGCGAAAGCCUGAUCCAGCCACGCCGCGUGAGUGAUGAAGGCCUUCGGGUCGUAAAGCUCUGUGGGGAGGGACGAACGAACGGUCGAAGAGGCCGGAAUGACGGUACCUCCUUAGCAAGCACCGGCUAACUUCGUGCCAGCAGCCGCGGUAAUCUCGUCUU